rnacentral:lncRNA from 1 species
AAACAUGCCCAACCUUUACUCACAUUCGAGAAAACACUCCCAACAAGAUUGCUUGCUCCAAAAUCGAAGAGGCACCGUCCUCCGAAUCUCGAGAGCCAGACUCCCAACAUGACUACUUUCUCAAAAUCGAAGAGAGGGUAAAGGAACAGUACCAUUGCUGGAUAAUUGGAAAGUCCCUGUGUGUCAACCUUUGUGCUUCGUGGCAAGGUAGACUAGCAAACAUGCCCAACCUUUACUCACAUUCGAGACAACACUCCCAACAAGAUUGCUUGCUCCAAAAUCGAAGAGGCACCGCCCUUCGAAUCUCGAGAGCCAGACUCUCAACAUGAUUACUUCCUCAAAAUCGAAGAGACACUGCUCUCCGAAUCUCGAGAGUCAGACCCCCAACAUGAUUGCUUUCUCAAAAAUCGAUGAGGCAUCGUUCUCCGAAUCUCGAGAGCCAGAUACCACAGACCACUUUUUCAAAGUGCUCUGACAGAGUUAAAACAUGUGAAACUGGCAGCUCCCACUACCGUGCUAUGACCAAACAGGGUAAAGGAAUAGCAUUACUACUUGUUGUUAGGGAGACUCCUAUAUAUGUCG